CUCUCUUAGGCUGUGUUAAAAGCCAUUUGGCCUCUCAGCCUCUGUGGUAAUUCCAUGUCUUGUGGAAGUCCUUGGGUUUGCUGGCGCAUGCCAUGUUGCAUUUACUCUGAACCAUUGAGGGGCUCUGUUUCUUUAUUGAGGCAUCUGCUUGACUGUGUAAAACUCCUCUGAGGUCAGGAUUUCUGUUUGACUAAUCAGGUGCUGAUACCCUUAGGCUGGGCUCUGCUAGCGCAGAGAGCAGUGAGCAUAGCACGAACACAUUUUCCGGUGUCUCUUCCAUUUCAUUUUUUCCCUUAAAGAGUCCUUUUUCCUUCCUGCCUCCUCUUGUCUUACAUGACAGGAAAAUGCAGGUUCCUAAAGGGAAGUGUGUGUCGCAGAGCCAUCUCUGUGCUUCAUUCACAGUUGGGCUUCAAGACCAGAACACGCUUAACCAGUGAGACCUCGGAGGCCGUGGGAACUGUAGGCCUAGAUUUUUUAAAUCUAUUUUUAAUAAGGGUUUUUAAAUGUUUUAAUGUCCCUUCUAGCCCAUCGCCCACCUGAGGUAGUGGAAAGAAAGGUUAAUAGAGCAAAGGAGGAUAUGGACCUUUUUAAAAAUACUUCUUUGGAGCAAAUCUAAUCUUGUGUUGUCAGGAGAUCAACAGUAAAGUUCACACAAAUUAGUAGCAACUCAAUCCAUUUGCAAACACCAUUUACAAAUCAGCAACAGCAGGACUCAUAAACAUCAUUUAUGAACUAGCUACAGCAUGCCAAUCUAGAAGAAAGCACAAGUCUCUAUCAGUUGGCCCAAGUCCUCUGAAAUGGGAAGAAGCCACGGAAAUACCACCAGAAGUUUUUUGGUGUGUUUCUCUCUAUGAAGUCAUGACAAAUGAUGACCAAUAAAGAAUGAUCAGGUACCAAUACCACCCAGAGUUGUCAGUGAAAGCCAGUGUCGACCAGCAAAGAGUGGCAAGGCCACCAAACCAUAGAGCACCAUCCACUGUCAAACAUCACGUCUUCUUUCAACCAUCUGCUCUAGCAAAAUACCAUAAUGCCCUUUUUCUGGGCUGCCUACAGAAAGACACCACGUGUCUGCUUCAGAAUAUGGUGGAACUCAAGGUGGUAGAAAAAUGUGGCCCUUUUGAUGGUUGAAAUUCACCAGCUAGCUAGUGAGUUUAGAUACCAGAUGGACUUCAAAGGCUAGAAUGAGGAGGGGUCUUUUAUUCAGGAAAAGGAAAUGUUUCUAAAACACCAUACAUGCAUAAGGCCACUUUAUAAGAUUUCCCUAAAAAGGCCCAGCUGUCAAAUAAAUGCAGGGGAUAAUUAACUAUUUCAUUUGUAGAGUUCAUGUUUUGUGUUUAUGAUGUGCUUAUGAUGGCUUGUUUUCUUAGACAAAGAAACCCAUGCACUUGGGGUCCCUGCGCUGUCCAUAGUGGCUUCCACUGCCAGCUCUGUGGCACUCAUUCUCCUCCUCGUGGUGCUGUUUGUACUGCUGCAGCCAAAGCUGAAGUCUUUCCAUCAUAGCAGGUGAGUUAGUCAAGCAUCCCCAUGAUGUCAACCUGGGACCAGUUAUAAGAAGCUACUAGUUUAUAGCUUCUGCUAGUCUGUAUCUUUGGGAAGUAGAGAGGAGGGUCCAGUUGUGUGUUAAACUCAUGCAUGUGACUGGCACUGCCCUUUUAGGGUGCACAUUCUUUACUUUGAUUCUUUUGGGAACAUUACAGGCAAAGAAACUGAGACAUUCAAAUAAUAUCUCAGAAUGACUGCAGAAUUGAGAUUUGAACCUACACAUCUGUUCAAUCUCAAAGACGUGGCUUUUCUGUCUCAUCCCUGUCUCUGGUGUUUCCAGCAGCAUCGGCACCACUCCUGAGAUGCUUUGGAGCUUAGACACAGUAAUAGAAAGUACAGCCCUCUGCGUGGUGCUGAUACAUGCUUGUGUUUGUAAGCUACCUCUUCUUGCUCCUGGCUUCUAAUCCUUAGUGCACCUCAGCUUCCCUCCUAUCCUCAUGUAUUUGGUUUGAAGUAGGAUCCUGGUCUUAUCAUUUUUUAGAAAGCUUCUCAGAUAGUUAUGAUGUGCAGUGAGAAUCCAGGACAUGAUACCAUUGUGAAAUUAGAAGGAGUGGGUUUUCUUGUCUACAUAUUCUCCUUUUUCUCUUAUAGUACAUUGUCUGUUGUUUAUCAUCCCAGCCUUGGGAGAUGGGGGUGGCAGAUGGUGGGCCCCUGGUGGGAGUGACCCUGAGUAUAUCUCUGAUAAGAGACUUUUUUCCUGACCUGCCUUGGCUUCUGUAGUUGCUUAACCAUUAUGGGUACUUCAUGCCUUUGAAGAAUAUAGAUCGUUUAUAUUCAUUCAUAGCCCUACAUCAGUCAUUGUCUUAGCUCUCAGGAACAGCUGUCCAGACUAAACCACAUUCUGUAAAAUGCUCCAGAUGUGAAACUUAUAGACGUAGACUACCCUGAAGUGAAUUUCUAUACAGGAAGGAGAUUUUUCCUUUCUCCUUUUUUGUUUGGAAGGAAGGAGGAGUAACAAUUUUUUUUUAAAAGAUAUAUUUGUUAAUUUUGUGAGUGCUCUAUCUGCAUUUACACCUACACACCAGAAGAGGGCAUUAGAUCCCAGUAUAGAUAGUUAUGAGCCACUAUGUGGUUGCUGGGAAUUGAACUAAGGACCUCUGGAAGAAUAAACGAUGUUCUU
rnacentral:lncRNA from 1 species